rnacentral:lncRNA from 1 species
CCAUUUUCAAUCACACAUGAAUUAGAGAUCAUUUACUCUUGUGCCUCCAGCUAUACCUAUGGAAUUUUCUUUUUCUCCAUUAAUUGCAAUUGUUACAUUUCUCCACCAUAAUAAUUAAACUAACUUAUACUAUCAAAUGCUUUCCUAAAUCUUAUUUGUAAUGUUCGAGCUCUUGACUGCUAACAGUGUUCACAUUUCUCAACGAUAAUAACUGAACAAACUUUUCUUAGUUAAGUGCUUUUCUAAUGCCCUUUUAUAACGUUCAGUCUGUAAACUUCAGAAAAGGAACGAGACACAUAGUUUUGCAAAUCAGAAUGCAGAAUAAUAGAUCUUACUAGUUCAUUCUCACAGUUUUGUCAAAAGAACAAAUCAAUUAAUUGGCAGAUGCCAAAUUUGUGUAGAAUUGCACCACAAAAAUUAUUCAACUGACUUCACAUUUACUAUCAAGAAAUUAGAGAUUCCAAAAACAGUUGUAGUAAAGAUAGUACCUUUGCCUGACUUAGAAAUAAUGGACGCAGCUAGAACAACCUGCAGCACAUAGAACAGUUUGCAAUUAUUAUCACAACGAUUCUUUUUCAAAAUCAACAAACUCCAUAUAUUUCCUAGAAAAUUCCUGAUUUUUUCUAAAGAGGCCCUAAAAUGUUCAGCAAAAGAUUAAUCUUUAAAGAUAUUUAGUUACAAGCUCAUCAACAACCAAAAUCACGUGGGAAAAAAAAGUUGUCAGCCGGAAAAAUUCAUUGGAAAGAUAAGCCAGUGGAAUAUUACCAUCUUCGCAGCUUAGAAGAUCUUCUGUUUCAGACCUUAAUCAAUAGAUCGUGUAUCACCUGGAAUUUAAACACAAAUUCCUUCUGGUAAGAAUAAAUUACUCCAAUUUAUUGGCAUCACCAAGGAAAUUAGAGUUACAAAAUAAACAAAGUAAUGUAGAGCGCAUAUCAAUCAAUGAAUUAUGCCUUAUUCUCAAGCUAGUUAAGGCCGCCUGUAUCAAUUAGGCGGAUUUUAAUGUAAACUGUAUGAAUUAACUCAAUUAUACGUUUAACCGAGAUCAACGGCCUAUGACUGUGCAAAAUGUAUGAAUCCUAGCAUAGAUUUAACGACGACGCUAACUGAAAAACAGAUCGGAUAGUGAUAAAACCCUAGGAUCAACAACUAAAAUUGGAAGGAGAGGACAUCGGACGACGAACACUAGCCAUUUCGAGAGAGAUCAGCAGUUACCUAAGUGGAACGAUCGGAUCAGUAUGCAAAUGCAAAUGCGGGACGGAAGAAGGAAAUAAGGCGCUCAAGAGCCGGAGUGGAAGAUCUUAACAGUGUUUGAAUACUUCUGUUUCGGUUGAAAGUUUUCUUCUCACUUUAUUUUAGUAGAAAUACGGAAUGAACCCUCUCAAAAGAAAAUUUGUCAAUCUACC